rnacentral:misc_RNA from 1 species
GCCCGCCAUAACAGUGGCGGGUGCAGUUUCUUUUCUGAGGAGAUUCACAUGGCACAGGGAACCGUGAAGUGGUUCAACGCCGAAAAGGGCUUCGGCUUUAUUACUCCGGACGAUUCCGACGGCGACGUCUUCGUCCACUACUCCGAGAUCCAGUCCAACGGCUUCAAGACCCUCGACGAGAACCAGCGCGUUGAGUUCGAGAUCGGCCAGGGCGCCAAGGGCCCGCAGGCCACCGGCGUCACCGCCCUCUGAUUCAUCUGCAGCGCCGCCUGUCGGCGCGGUUCG